UCCUCGUUUAAGCGAGGCAGUCUGUCCAGAGUGCUCCCUGCUCUCGCAGGGGUGGCAACAGGACACAAGGGUUGCGCUCGUUGCGGGACUUAACCCAACAUCUCACGACACGAGCUGACGACAGCCAUGCAGCACCUGUGCAAGCUCCCCUUGCGGGGUCGUCCCACUUUCAUGGUCCUACCACUUGCAUGUCAAGGCCAGGUAAGGUUCUUCGCGUUGCAUCGAAUUAAGCCACAUACUCCACCGCUUGUGCAGGCCCCCGUCAAUUUCUUUGAGUUUUAAUCUUGCGACCGUACUUCCCAGGCGGCGCAUUUAUCGCGUUAGCUUCGCCACGAACGGGGUCGAUUCCGCCCACAGCAAAUGCGCACCGUUUACGGCUAGGACUAC
rnacentral:misc_RNA from 1 species